GUGGGGCCUUGGGAUUCUUGCAAGUUUUGUUGCAAGGUAUACCUUGGCGGGGAUCGGCUUAGUCGUAUAAAGUUCUAGAUAGAAUACUGAUUAUGACAAUUUUCUAUCUAAAGGUCUUGACCAAGUCUCGUGCCAGCAGUCGCGGUAAUACGAGGAAGACUAGUGUUAUUCAUCUUUAUUAGGUUUAAAGGGUACCUAGACGGUUAAUCUAGCCCCUAAAGGGUACGGAUUUGGCUAGAGUUUUAUGUGAGAGGGAAAUAUUAGUAUUAUUGGUGUAGAGAUGAAAUUCUUUGAUACUAUUAGGACUGGUAAGGGCGAAAGCAAUCCUCUAUGUACAAACUGACGUUGAGGGACGAAGGCUUGGGUAACGAACAGGAUUAGACACCCUAGUAGUCCAGGCAGAGAAUGAUGAGUGUCAUAGAUUAGAAAAAUUUUGGUCUAUAAAUGAAAGUGUAAACAUUCCACCUCAAGAGUAAUGUGGCAACGCAGGAACUGAAAUCAUUAGACCGUUUCUGAAACCAGUAGUGAAGUAUGUUAUUUAAUUCGAUAAUCCACGAAAAACCUUACCACAAUUUGAAUGUAAUAGAGGUUUGAAAAACAGAAUAGUUGUUUAUUAAACAAUUUUGAAGCUGAGUAAAACUAUAUUUACACAAGUGUUGCACGGCUGUCUUCAGCUAAUGUCGUGAGAAUCUGGUUAGAUCCUAAAAUUAGCGAAAUCCCUUUUGUUNUUCUUUGUGCUAAUGAAGUUCACCGCUAGAU
rnacentral:rRNA from 1 species